CCUACGGGAGGCAGCAGUGAGGAAUAUUGGUCAAUGGGAGAGAUCCUGAACCAGCCAAGCCGCGUGAGGGAAGACGGCCCUAUGGGUUGUAAACCUCUUUUGUCGGAGAACAAAACCCGGGACGUGUCCCGUACUGCGUGUAUCCGAAGAAAAAGCAUCGGCUAACUCCGUGCCAGCAGCCGCGGUAAUACGGAGGAUGCGAGCGUUAUCCGGAUUUAUUGGGUUUAAAGGGUGCGUAGGCGGUCCGUUAAGUCAGCGGUAAAAUUGCGGGGCUCAACCCCGUCGAGCCGUUGAAACGGGCAGACUUGAGUUGGCGAGAAGUACGCGGAAUGCGCGGUGUAGCGGUGAAAUGCAUAGAUAUCGCGCAGAACUCCGAUUGCGAAGGCAGCGUACCGGCGCCAGACUGACGCUGAGGCACGAAAGCGUUGGGAUCGAACAGGAUUAGAUACCCUGGUAGUC
rnacentral:rRNA from 1 species